AAAUUUUUUAUUUUCUUAAUUGAAAGAACUCUUUAAGCUGUAGUGUAACUUAUUUUUCAGUUUCUUGUUUUUAUGGUUUGUUCCCGAGAUAUUUCAAUUUGUUUGACAUGUAAAUGAGUGUGAAUAUGUCCGCUAAUUUAUGACGUCACGUUGGUUGCAGGCUCCUUAAAAUGGUUGAAUAUCUCUGCUAUCAUCCAGGAUAAUAAUUUCAAACUUCACUCACUGGUAAAUGUGAUGAAAUACACGUCAAAAACGUAAACUGAUAUCUACAGUUUUUAGAGUUAAUAGAUUUAUAAUCAGUGUAAGUUGAGCUUGCAACCAACGUGAUGUCAUAAAUU